CCGGCAGCUCACUUCUGUUGUGGCUUUUUUUAUUUGCAUCCUUUUAUUUUUGUAGUAAGUAACUUUUUUUUUUUUUUUUCCAUCGCCACUUUUUUUUUUUUUUUUUGCGUUGUUAACUUCCAUUGUGCCUUUAUUUUUGUCUUCACCAUUUCUUUUUUUAUUAUUUGCAGGGGGCUUCAGUCUCUUGUUUUCCUUUUUUUGCAUCCCUAACUUGUGACUUCUUUUUUUUGCAUCCUUUUUUAUUUGCAGCUGCUUUAGUUUCUUUUUUUUCCCACAUUGGUACCUUCCAUUGUAACUUCUUUUUUUGGAUUCUUUUGAAUUUGCAGCAGUGCCGUUUUUUUUUUAAAUUCUUUUUCGCAGCGGGCUUCAGGUUUUUUUAAUCUUUAUUUUUGCAUUGGUAACUUCUGUUGUGACUUUUUUUUUGCAUUCUUUUUAUUUGCACGAGUGUCGUUCUUUUUUUUGCAUUCUUUUUUAUUUGCAACGUGCUUCACUUUCUUUUUUUUGCAUCACUAACUUCCAUUGUGACUUCUUUUUUUUUGCAUUCUUUUUAUUAGCAGCAGUGGUGUUCUUUUUUUGCAUUUUUUUUUUUUUUGUCGUGGGCUUCAGUUCCUUUUUCUUUUCUUUUUUUUGCAUUGGUAACUUCUGUUGUGACUUCUUUUUUUGGAUUCUUUUGAAUUUGCAGCAGGGCCCUUUUUUGUUGCAUUCUUUUCUUAUUCGCAGCAGUGGCGGUUCUCGGCCACCGUAUCUACUAGUCUGCAGACAAAACCCAGCUGUGCUCAAACAGUCUAUUCCUGUAAUGUUUUCUCUUGGAAAAUUCCCACCAGGACAGUUUGCUUUCAUUUCCGGAUUUAAGGAAUAUCCACGAGUAUCAUUUAAGGGGGGGAGAAAAAUGAGAGGUAGAUAAAUUUAACACGAUUAGAGGAUUUAUAGUCCCCCUCCUGACCUCCCUGCUCUGUUCCUCACACUUUGUACCAUGAAUGUUCCCUGGAACGGCGCAUGCGCAGAGCGGUAACCGGAAGCUUGUGCUGCUCUAUGUGCUGGCGGUCUGUGCUGCUGCUGCUGUUUCUGCUGUUUCUGCUGCUCUCUGCCGAUCAGUGCUCCUUCAAUGACUCGGACCGCCUCACACUUCUUCAGUUACCUCUCUCUACAUCGGCAGCGUUCAGGGAGCUUCAUGCAGUCGAAGUGAUCGAGCAGGAAACAGGAUUUUCUUCCUGAUUGAGGAAACUUGAAGACUUCACGUUGACGGUACGUGCCGCUAACUCACAGUUUCAAGCUUUGGCUACUUCGAUAUAUUCGGAAACUGAGCGAGUCUUUGACUGGCAGCCUCUAAAUGAGAUUGACUGUUAAUCCGAGCUUCUUUCAGAUUAGCUUUAAUAAAGUGAAGCACAAAUAAACAGCCUGUAUGUUUAUGUAUGUGUAUUUUUAUGUGCCGGUGUUAGCAUGUUAGCUCUUUAACUGUUUGUGUGUCCACGUUAGCAGAAACUUAAACCCCAAUACUGAAGUAGAAAGUGGAUUUUACAGCUGCAGUUUACAGGGCAGGGUCAGUUAUGAUCGACACUUUCAUUAUUGUGUCAUAAAAACAGGUUCUGUGGGCUGAUCUGAAAAAGGUGUGGUCAUAUAUAUUUGAUAGUAUGAUAGAGGAGAGUCCAUUCAGGAUGUCUGCCAUCUGCUUUUCAUUCAUUUUAAGGGAUUUUAUUAAAUAUAGCUCAUCUAAUUUCACUGUAACUUCCUCCUUUUGGCUGUAUAAUGUCCCUUAAAAAUAUACACGUCAUGUCUGAUACUCCUUUGUAUUUAAUUUCAAUAUAAUUUUCAGUGUUUCUGAGUCUGAUGUUACUCUAAAGUGAAUAUUUAAUUAUCAUUAAUACCAAUUUCUAUUUAAUCCUUAAGAAAUCAGUGAGAUUUCCCUUAUUUAUCAUGAUGCUUGGAUGCAUUAUAAACACAUUAACCUAAAGAGAAACCUCAGUGAAACUAUCUUCUCUGAGAUGAAGUGAUCAGAGAUAAUCGGCUUGAAUCGUCCGGGAAAAACAAGAGUGUUGACCUGAAGAGUCCGCCGUAAAUACUGAACGUCCACAUGUGAGGAAGAUAGAAACUAAAUCAGACUUUUAACAGGAUUAGAGUAAAAUCAGCCUACAGUACUUGGAGCUUUGGGUAGUUCAUGGGAGGAGUUUGAUAGGGUUCAGGUUAGGACUGGGCGAUUUGGCGAUAAAAAACGAUCACAAUAUAUUUCGUCAUAUCGUCCGAUCUCGAUUAUUAUCACAAUUUUUGUUUUUAUUUUUUUAACUGCUAGUUUUAAAGCAUCUGUACGAAAAACUAAAGAAACUAAAGAUUAGUUCAACAUUUUAUUAAAAUACAAGGUAAUUAAAAAAGCUAAUUGAAUAAGAUAAACUUACGAUUGAUUGCGGCUUUAAGGUUCUUACACACCGGGAACGACACAAGUACGACGCGAAAUUACAAAAUAUUAAGGUCCUUACACACUGGGGCGACACGAAUAUAGAACGUGAAAUUACGAAAUAUUGGGGGUGAAUUUUGACGCGCCUGACUAUACACAUCAAGGCCGAUGCGAUUUUGCGACUUUCCUGGGGAAAACUUUUCCGAUUGGCUAGAAAAGCUGGAAAUGUCAUCAUCCGCUCAAGCCAAAUGGUCAGCACUUAUAGCCAAUCAGAGGCGAAGGAGGGCGGGACCUUCCCUUAACAACCUACAGCGUCCCGGGUGGAAGCGAGAGGACAAAAAUGGAGUCUACUUCAACUUCAAGUGAUGGCGAAUUGGUACUCCUUUUGCUUUCUCAAAAGAAAAAGAAACAUAGCACAUGGGUGCGUCCAAUAUUAAAAAAAGAAGAGAACUUGGUGAGUUUCACUGCUCGGUUCAGGAGCUGAAACUGGACCACGGUUGCUUCAGAACCUAUUUUUGGAUGUCCGUUGGACAAUUUGAAGUUCUGCUGAAACAAUUAGCUCCAAGUUUGAAGAGGCAGAGGACUAGACACUAGACACUAGUGUUGAGAUGUCUGUCUGUCAUGAUAGCAUGUACUGAGUCAGGGCCGGUACCAGAUAAGCACAUUAAACUAUGGUAACAACUGUUAUCUUACGUUAGCAAAGAUGAAAGUUAAAAAAAAGACGUUUAUCAAACUGUUAAAGCUCACAAACCAUCGUCAUAUGAGAAAUCCGACGCUAUGACUCUCCACAAGUUGUCCUUCAGGUCGUUAUCUUUGUAAUAUUUGUGUAAACGAUCAUAAACAAUCAGCUGAUCGGCCAUGUUGGAUAAACCGGUGAACCUGCUGUGCAACAACACGCAAUCUGAUUGGUCAGACGUGGACACACAGUAUGCAAAACUUUAGAGAAAUCAACCAUGAUCCGAAAAAAUAAGUGCGGCAAUAUCGCAGGACGGGAAAACGUCGCUGAUGUGAACGCUUGUAUUGACAGGAUAUGGGUCUUAGCACUUCCCGUGAGCCUGCUUAUUGAUAUAUUAAUUUACGUAUGGCAUUUUGGAUUUUUGCUCUAUCUUGUUCUUUGCUUGUUUUAUUUGUUUUUAUGUCGCAAUGUACAACACUUUGGCUACCCCCGUGGUUCUUUUAAAUGUGCUAUAGAAAUAAAGUUGAUUGAUUGAUUAAUUGAUUUUAAAUUGACUGGGCUGCUAAACAGUGAGCAACAUCGAGACAGCUGAACAAUACAGAAUAGUGUCAUCUGCAUAAAUAUGGAUUUUACAGUAAAUAAUAGAGGAGAAAAAUGUUAUUUACAGAGAUUUUAAAUAAAACAGGGCCAAGAAUUGAUCCCUGUGGGACACCUUUAGUUAAUGGUAGGUAGUCUGGUUGAAUAUUUCCACCUUUGAGGCAUCGAAAUCUACCAGGAAGGUAAAUCUAGAGCACUUUAUACAUUAUGGGUCAGGAGAAUGAUCAACAGUAUCAGAAGCUCUCAAAAUAUAUCCAGCAGUAAUUUCCAUCCAUCAAUCAGUUAAUCAAUUAAUAAGGCUUUAGUCAUGUGUAUGCACUUUUGACAUGACACAAAGUGAUUUACACCACAUCGUACCUUACCACAUCCCUUACAGUAUUUUGCCUAUAUCCUGGAGCCACACCCCGUUAAUAUAGUCUCUGUUUACACAAAUAAUUAAAAGUAAACAAAUUAAGUAAAAGAUGUGUGCUGUGCUGCUUAUCGGUGACAUGGGACAGAUGUGUGUUCAUGAACAUUUGCUGCACAGCUCCAGUUGGUGGUGUCUGAAAUGAAACAGGACAGACCCGUGGACCCCUAAACGAUAAAUCAGGCACGGAUCGGCUCAGGGUUGGGACAUCCUUAUAAAAUCAAAUGAAAAUCCAGUUGAAAUGAGGAGGUCUUGAGUCAAUCACAUUAGUUUAGUUAGUUGUUUAUAUGUGAUACCUUGAAAAAAGUUUGAAAUUGUCACGUCUUCACAAACAGAAACCAUCAGAUAUUUCCCUAAGUAAUCAGCUCUCAGGCAGAAAGAGAGGAGUCAUUGGUUUCUGUGUGUAAACACCAAACAUCACGAGUUGUUUCUUCCUUGGGUCUCAAGGGCAUCUCAAGACCCCUCCUGGGUCUCACUCACUGACAACAGGUUGCUAUGAUCUAACAGUCCCAUCUCUGAGCUCUUCGAUUGGCUUCAAAGUAGGCCUGUGUGAUACAGGAUUUAUAUUUAGUGUACCAUUGCAUCGUUUAUUUCUGAUAACGAAGAAGAAGAGUCCAAAUUAAAGAGCACAUGUUAGCAUCUUUGUAACGUUUGCAGGACUCAGUGAUAUUAAUCCAAAAACAUUUUUUCCGAUAUUUUUCCAGCAUGAAAUUGGCACCAAUAAUCAGAGGGUGGGUGAUAAUUAGCUGAGCUUCAUGUGGCUGCAUCAGAACAGUGUGAAAGCAUGGACAAAACUUUUUUAUCCAAACAGCAAACUGAGAGAGAGAGAGCAAUGCCUGUUAAUAAUGUCUAUUUAUGGACUUGAAAACCAAACAGGACCGCCACACUAACACCAAAAUCAGCAAAGACUGCUUUGUCCACAGGGGAGGAGCCGAAACAGACACAAACCGCAUCCUGUGGUCUUGAGAAACAAAGCCAUUGCAGAGGUGAUAAAAGUUGUCGUUCCUCGAGCGCCCACUUUAGGCUGGCUGUAGAAACACCCCAGAAUUCAUAAAAGCCUGUUUUGAGAGCGAAAAAUAGACGUGUUAAGGUCCCCACACACCAGGAAUGAGGCAAAUAUAGGAAUCGAAAUUAUUAAAUAUUUGGAGGCGAAUUUUGACGCACCUGACUAUACACAUCAAGCCCGCUGCGAUUUUGCGACUCUCUGGGGGGAAAAAGACGCGUCCCGGUUGGAAGCGAGAAGACCGACUCAACAGCAGACUGAGUGUCUUUCAGUUCUGAUUAGACUCUAGUGUUGAGAUGUCUGUCUGUCAUGAUAGCAUGUACUGAGUCGGGGCCAGUACCAGAUAAGCACAUUUAACUAUAAUCCAUAAAUGUAAUGUAACAACCGAGACCUAAUGGUGCUGUGACAGAAACUCGAUUGAGUUUGAGACAGUGAAAAUACAUACCGUUGAAUCAGACGUCGCAACAACACGAAAUCUGAUUGGUCAGAAGUGGACACACAGUAUGCGAAACUUAAAAAAAUUCGACCGUGAUAUGAAAAAAUAAAUGCCGCAAUAUCGCAGGACGGGAAAACAUCGCUGAUGUGAACGCUGUUUUGACAGGAUACGGGUUCAAAAGAAUAUUGAGGUCUGAAAUAAUUGCACGAAAAAACGGUUCCGGUGUGAAAUGACCUUAAGUCUGGUUCAGAAACAGUGUCACAAC